UACGUAGGGUGCGAGCGUUGUCCGGAAUUAUUGGGCGUAAAGGGCUCGUAGGCGGUUUGUCGCGUCGGGAGUGAAAACCUCGGGCUUAACUCGGGGCUUGCUUUCGAUACGGGCAGACUAGAGGUAUGCAGGGGGGAACGGAAUUCCUGGUGUAGCGGUGAAAUGCGCAGAUAUCAGGAGGAACACCGGUGGCGAAGGCGGUUCUCUGGGCAUGAUCUGACGCUGAGGAGCGAAAGUGUGGGGAGCGAACAGG
rnacentral:rRNA from 1 species